CGAACGCUGGCGGCUGCUUAACACAUGCAAGUCGAGCGGAAAGCCCUUCGGGGUACUCGAGCGGCGAACGGGUGAGUAACACGUGGGCAACCUGCCCUCAGCUCUGGGAUAACUCCGGGAAACCGGGGCUAAUACCGGAUACGACCAUUCCUGGCAUCAGGUGGUGGUGGAAAGUUUUUCGGCUGAGGAUGGGCCCGCGGCCUAUCAGCUUGUUGGUGGGGUGAAGGCCUACCAAGGCGACGACGGGUAGCCGGCCUGAGAGGGCGACCGGCCACACUGGGACUGAGACACGGCCCAGACUCCUACGGGAGGCAGCAGUGGGGAAUAUUGCGCAAUGGGCGGAAGCCUGACGCAGCGACGCCGCGUGAGGGAUGACGGCCUUCGGGUUGUAAACCUCUUUCAGCAGGGACGAAGCGCAAGUGACGGUACCUGCAGAAGAAGCACCGGCCAACUACGUGCCAGCAGCCGCGGUAAUACGUAGGGUGCAAGCGUUGUCCGGAAUUAUUGGGCGUAAAGAGCUCGUAGGCGGUCUGUCGCGUCGGCUGUGAAAUCUCGGGGCUCAACCCCGAGCCUGCAGUCGAUACGGGCAGACUUGAGUGCUGUAGGGGAGACUGGAAUUCCUGGUG
rnacentral:rRNA from 1 species